GAUGAACGCUGGCGGCGUGCCUAAUACAUGCAAGUCGAGCGAACGGACGAGAAGCUUGCUUCUCUGAUGUUAGCGGCGGACGGGUGAGUAACACGUGGAUAACCUACCUAUAAGACUGGGAUAACUUCGGGAAACCGGAGCUAAUACCGGAUAAUAUUUUGAACCGCAUGAUUCAAAAGUGAAAGACGGUCUUGCUGUCACUUAUAGAUGGAUCCGCGCUGCAUUAGCUAGUUGGUAAGGUAACGGCUUACCAAGGCAACGAUGCAUAGCCGACCUGAGAGGGUGAUCGGCCACAUGGGAACUGAGACACGGUCCAGACGCCUACGGGAGGCAGCAGUAGGGAAUCUUACGCAAUGGGCGAAAGCCUGACGGAGCAACGCCGCGUGAGUGAUGAAGGUCUUCGGAUCGUGAAACUCUGUUAUUAGGGAAGAACAGAUGUGUAAGUAACUGUGCACAUCUUGACGGUACCUAAUCAGAAAGCCACGGCUAACUACGUG
rnacentral:rRNA from 1 species